CUGCUGCUGGUCCCUUUCCUCACUGGCACUGGCUGCACGUGUCGUUGCGGUCGGGAUUCGCCGAUCCCACUGCCCGAGCGCCGCGCUCGUCCUGUGGAACGUGCAAAAGGGUCAAAACCCUAGCCGCCGCGCCAACCCUUCUCGUCAGGCCCCCGCCCCCUCCGCCUCGUCUCCUCCCUGCUCCCUCCUCUCCCACGUCGCCGCCCUCGAGCCCCCUCCACCUCGUCUCCUCCCUGCUCCCUCCUCUCCAACGCCGCUGCCCUCGAUGCGCCGUCAGGGAUGCCAUCAGCCCGAGCCUAGGAGAAGACCACUCCUAAUCUUACUCGCCGCCGCUGAUUGGAUCGAGAGCGCCCACAUGGCCACGCCACCGCUGCCGCCUGGAUUUGCUAGCCGCCGCAUGGAGUCACCCUGGCCGCCGCGUGGAGUCGCCCUGGCCGCCGCCGAGAGAACUCCACCAUUGCCCCCAUGAAUCCAGUCCCAGCAAGGUAACUUCCUCCGAAUCCCUGCUCUCCUUGGUCCUCCUGCCCUGCUUGCUGCAUGUGUGUUAUGUGCGUUUGGCCACUCCUUGAGCAAGCUCAAGUCCGUCGACUUUUACAGGUACCAUCUGCCUCCCUUCCGAUCUUCAGAUCUCCAUAUUUCGUGACUGCGGUGUUUUGAUUUCGUUGGAUUACUAUCUGUAUUUGGGGAUUAGCUAUGAAUUGAUGUUUUUACCUCGAGCAUGGAUAGUCGGCAGUACUGAUUUAGGUCUUUCUGUAGAACAGAAUGAUUAGCUCGUCUAUUUCUGGAGAACUGCACUAUAGAUGAUAUAUUUAUGAACGAUCUUAACACUGAAAAUGCAAAAUUUACGGAAAAUUCCCAGGGAUUUGAUUGACGGAGGCAUCACUAUUUGACGUUGGAUUAUCCAUUUGUCGGUGACGUUGUUUUUGUUUGGAAUGGCCAGUUCUCAAUUUCUAUUCUGUUAUCAACGAUACUGUACUUCUUGUCAGGUUACAUUAUCUUACUUGGUUUCAGUCUAUAUGUAGCACAAAAAUAGGUAACAUGGUUAUUUUCAUGCUCGAUUUGGUUUGUAGGUUACACUAAGGAACACCAUCAUAAGGAAAAGGGCAUUGCACUGCAUUGUUUAUAAUUGGCCUGUUACUAUUCGGUCUGCUGUAGUACUUAAUUGCUACACCAUUUCAAGUUAUGUAGUCUAAAAUAACCCUUUCAAAUGAACUUUUUUAAUUGAUAUUCAGAGCAUCAACAUGUUGGACUAGAUUAUGAAAUCAACUAUGAUCAUGAGAACUUGAAGCUAUUUGUUGACUAAAUUGUCAAUUGUUUUGCGUGAAUUGAAACUGGCAGUGUGAUGACAUUACUGUAGAUGCUUUGCUAUAUACAUUUGCCUAAUCCCCUCUCUCUCUAAUAUGUUCUCUUUUGUGAAGAUCCUUUGCAGAUCAAUUGGUGAGGCGGAAUGCUAAGCAUCGUUUCACAUUCAGGUAAGGCUCUUUGUUUGCAACCACUGCUGCGCCCACUACACAUGGGGUUUGAUCUAAAUGUAUCAGUAUGUGCCAAAUGGGGCCUCUCUUUUCCAAAUAGCUUUCCAAGAUUGUACCCAAAUGGGGCCUCUCUUCGUACAUAAUUGAAUAUGGGAUUGAACCCAUGGUCACAUCAUAUUGUGAGACAUGUCUGAAACGUCUAAGCUGGGAAAUCAGGUCGAUUUAUCUGACUACUGAAAAUGAGCUUCAGAAUAACUACAGAAGUUAUCCACUUCCAGCCAAAUAUCAAUUAUGAUAAAUCCACCAUGUACCAUGAUCAUUUGAAUAUUCUUGCUUAAGUUUAUGUUAGCUACAUAUUCUAAAUGAAUGUUCACUUGUGUUCAAAUUUCAAGGAAGUGUGCUUCACGCUUCUGUUUCUGCAAUAUGUUUUAGAGUAUAUGAUUUCAUUUUCCUACUUUCCCAGUUAUAAAUAUAUUGGCAUCAAAGUAGAGUUUCAGGUUUAUGGUUCAAUAUAUAAUUGCAAAGUAGUUUAUGGCUCAAUAUAUCACUGCAGGUUCCUUACACCGUCAAAUUUCAAUGUUUUUGUAUUUUUGUUGAUUGAAGCAUGUUCUUCGACUAUAAAAUAGCAGAGAUUUAUUUUCUUAUCAAUUCUAAUCCCUUUUUGAUGCAUUGCAAGUUUGCUAUCAAACUCUCAAAAAGGAAAAAACAACUUUACUCUGUUUUUUGGAGAACCUUCCUGUAGAGUACCUCGACAGAGACAAAUAUGCGAUCAAGGAUAUAUUCGAUGGAUUUUCACGCAAAAUUUGGAGGAUAGUUUUGCAGAUAGUUUGGUGCUCUCAUGGUUAUUUUGUAGUGAUUUUCCUUCUGUUCAUUACUUGGUAACCAUCUACGGCAGCUCAGCUAUUGUCCAGCUGCUGACCUUGGCCUUUCAAUCUCACUGUGAUUCCCCGAGAUGCGCUAUUAGUAGGCAUCCACUUUGUAAUAAAAAUUUGGCAGUCAACUUGAAACGAGUCAUUUAUCUAGCUACAGCAACCUUCCUUGCUUUUGCAAAUAAUACUGUAUGGUUGACACUAUAGUUUAUACCUGCCAAAUAUUUACACGUUAGUAUAGCCAGAAAGUCAGAUGAUCGUUCCAUGUUGGUUAGCCAUGAUAAAUCAAAUAUCUAGAGUAGCAGAUGAUUCGUGUCAGGUUUCCUUUAGAGAUUGAAAUAUGUCUUGACUCUGAAAUUAGUAGUACAGCGUCCAGUUCCAUAGGUGAAAGCAUACUAUGCAAAACUGGACGGCCUUCUAAAGCUCUGAAACUACUAUUUGUUGUGUAA